GGCGAAAGUUAGAAGACUACACAUGCGAGUCGAGCGGUAGCACAGAGAGCUUGCUCUCGGGUGACGAGCGGCGGACGGGUGAGUAAUGUCUGGGAAACUGCCUGAUGGAGGGGGAUAACUACUGGAAACGGUAGCUAAUACCGCAUAAUGUCGCAAGACCAAAGUGGGGGACCUUCGGGCCUCAUGCCAUCAGAUGUGCCCAGAUGGGAUUAGCUAGUAGGUGGGGUAACGGCUCACCUAGGCGACGAUCCCUAGCUGGUCUGAGAGGAUGACCAGCCACACUGGAACUGAGACACGGUCCAGACUCCUACGGGAGGCAGCAGUGGGGAAUAUUGCACAAUGGGCGCAAGCCUGAUGCAGCCAUGCCGCGUGUGUGAAGAAGGCCUUCGGGUUGUAAAGCACUUUCAGCGGGGAGGAAGGCGGUGAGGUUAAUAACCUUGUCGAUUGACGUUACCCGCAGAAGAAGCACCGGCUAACUCCGUGCCAGCAGCCGCGGUAAUACGGAGGGUGCAAGCGUUAAUCGGAAUUACUGGGCGUAAAGCGCACGCAGGCGGUCUGUCAAGUCGGAUGUGAAAUCCCCGGGCUCAACCUGGGAACUGCAUUCGAAACUGGCAGGCUAGAGUCUUGUAGAGGGGGGUAGAAUUCCAGGUGUAGCGGUGAAAUGCGUAGAGAUCUGGAGGAAUACCGGUGGCGAAGGCGGCCCCCUGGACAAAGACUGACGCUCAGGUGCGAAAGCGUGGGGAGCAAACAGGAUUAGAUACCCUGGUAGUCCACGCCGUAAACGAUGUCGAUUUGGAGGUUGUGCCCUUGAGGCGUGGCUUCCGGAGCUAACGCGUUAAAUCGACCGCCUGGGGAGUACGGCCGCAAGGUUAAAACUCAAAUGAAUUGACGGGGGCCCGCACAAGCGGUGGAGCAUGUGGUUUAAUUCGAUGCAACGCGAAGAACCUUACCUGGUCUUGACAUCCACAGAACUUUCCAGAGAUGGAUUGGUGCCUUCGGGAACUGUGAGACAGGUGCUGCAUGGCUGUCGUCAGCUCGUGUUGUGAAAUGUUGGGUUAAGUCCCGCAACGAGCGCAACCCUUAUCCUUUGUUGCCAGCGGUUCGGCCGGGAACUCAAAGGAGACUGCCAGUGAUAAACUGGAGGAAGGUGGGGAUGACGUCAAGUCAUCAUGGCCCUUACGACCAGGGCUACACACGUGCUACAAUGGCAUAUACAAAGAGAAGCGACCUCGCGAGAGCAAGCGGACCUCAUAAAGUAUGUCGUAGUCCGGAUUGGAGUCUGCAACUCGACUCCAUGAAGUCGGAAUCGCUAGUAAUCGUAGAUCAGAAUGCUACGGUGAAUACGUUCCCGGGCCUUGUACACACCGCCCGUCACACCAUGGGAGUGGGUUGCAAAAGAAGUAGGUAGCUUAACCUACGGGAGGGCGCUUACCCACAGAGAAAACGGCCGG
rnacentral:rRNA from 1 species